CUACUACUCCCUCCAUCCGAAAAUACUUGUCAUUGAAAUGGAUGUAUCUAGAUGUAUUUUAGUUCUAGACACAUCCAUUUUGAUGACAAGUAAUUCCGGACGGAGGGAGUAUUAC
rnacentral:pre_miRNA from 1 species